GAUGAACGCUGGCGGCGUGCCUAAUACAUGCAAGUCGAGCGAACAGACGAGGAGCUUGCUCCUCUGACGUUAGCGGCGGACGGGUGAGUAACACGUGGAUAACCUACCUAUAAGACUGGGAUAACUUCGGGAAACCGGAGCUAAUACCGGAUAAUAUAUUGAACCGCAUGGUUCAAUAGUGAAAGACGGUUUUGCUGUCACUUAUAGAUGGAUCCGCGCCGCAUUAGCUAGUUGGUAAGGUAACGUCUUACCAAGGCAACGAUGCGUAGCCGACCUGAGAGGGUGAUCGGCCACACUGGAACUGAGACACGGUCCAGACUCCUACGGGAGGCAGCAGUAGGGAAUCUUCCGCAAUGGGCGAAAGCCUGACGGAGCAACGCCGCGUGAGUGAUGAAGGUCUUCGGAUCGUAAAACUCUGUUAUGAGGGAAGAACAAAUGUGUAAGUAACUAUGCACGUCUUGACGGUACCUAAUCAGAAAGCCACGGCUAACUACGUG
rnacentral:rRNA from 1 species